AGGUUUGGUUUCCAUUCGUUUUCAGCUCCGAAAAUGCUAGCAGUGAGAGGGGAGCUGCAAAUAACUCAGAGGGACCAGUUGACUCAUCAGGUUUCCAACUUUUGAUACAAGACCUUGCUGACGCAACCGAUGAAGGAAACUUACGAGCAUCAGAAACAAAGUCCUUAGCAAACAUGCUAUUGUUUCAAUACCUAGUUAACGUUUUUGAAGGAGAUUUUCGACCACGUAACAGUGUCUAUGAAGAUACCAUGAACUGGGUAGUUCUGAGAGAGUCUUUAUUGAACAUGCUUCUGGUGUCAAGAAAAGUAAACUACAAAAGCUUGAUGAAGGAUUGCUUGACCA